UACGUAGGUGGCGAGCGUUAUCCGGAAUGACUGGGUGUAAAGGGAGCGCAGGCGGGUAUUCAAGUUGGAUGUGAAAUACCGAGGCUCAACCUCGGAGCUGCAUCCAAAACUGUAUAUCUUGAGUGGAGUAGAGUCAAGCGGAAUUCCGAGUGUAGCGGUGAAAUGCGUUGAUAUUCGGAGGAACACCGGUGGCGAAGGCGGCUUGCUGGGCUCUAACUGACGCUGAGGCUCGAAAGUGUGGGUAGCAAAC
rnacentral:rRNA from 1 species